rnacentral:tRNA from 1 species
GCCUCCUUAGCUCAGUGGUUAGAGCACUGGUCUUGUAAACCAGCGGCCAUGAGUUCGAAUCUCAUAGGGGGCU